CCCUUAGAUGUUCUGGGCCGCACGCGCGCUACACUGACGAAUGCAACGAGCUUAUAACCUUGGCCGAAAGGUCUGGGUAAUCUCCAAAUUUCGUCAUGAUGGGGAUAGAUUAUUGCAAUUAUUAAUCUUCAACGAGGAAUGCCUAGUAAGCGCAAGUCAUCAGCUUGCGUUGAUUACGUCCCUGCCCUUUGUACACACCGCCCGUCGCUCCUACCGAUUGAAUGGUCCGGUGAAGCGUUCGGACCGUGGCCUUUGGACGGUUCGCCGUCUGUUGGCUGCGGGAAGUUCGUUAAACCUUAUCAUUUAGAGGAAGGAGAAGUCGUAACA
rnacentral:rRNA from 1 species